GCGGGUUGUGAACAGAGCCGUGGACGUCUUCAACAAAGAGAAACAGGAAAUCAUUGCAAGAUACCUUCCUCCUUAUGACAGAAUAAAAUGACACCGGACACCUACCUUUCUAUUUAAAGCCCUUUGGAAACCACAUUCUACAGUGAAUAAGAGGUGUUAUUUCCUGGGGACAGAAAAGGCACUGCAUAACAGGAAUGAAUGACCCGGUCUGUGAGAGCCACAAAUCCAGGUAACGAGUGGAGGACAGAGGAGCCUCUUAAAGAAGAAGUUACAAGUAUGUGAGAGCCACAAAUCUUGCUUGUUUGUAGGUGACCAAAUACUUAUUUUCCACCAUAAUUUGCAAAUAAAUUCAUAAAAAAAUCCUACAA